rnacentral:lncRNA from 1 species
GGGUGCCUUUCUAGGAGUUCGCUGUGGUUGUGCAGGCUUGAAUGGUUCUCUGUGUCCUGCUCUGAGAUCUGCUGUCGGGUGCAUUGAGGGGACCUCAGGAAGCUCUGAGAUUUAGACAUGGAUGCAGUGACUUUUGACGAUGUGCAUGUGAACUUCACUAAAGAAGAGUGGAAUUUGCUGCAUCCUUCCCAGAUGAAUCUCUACAAAGAUGUUAUGUUGGAGACCUACUGGAACCUUACUUCUAUAGGCUACAAAUGGGAAGACCAUCACAUUGAAGAAUCAUGUCAAUGUUCUCGAAGACAUACAAGGUAAUUUUCAUGUGCAAGCUGAUAGAAAUAUGUCUGUGAGGAAAUUGUAGUAAGUUCUGGAAGUUCUAAAGGAAAGCAAGAGUGUCAAAUAUCAGUCCAUUACCUGUAGCUAUGAUUAUGAUAUUCUCGAAAGUGCGUGUACCUCAGAUUCUAUUAUGUGAUUUGUGUUUUUAAGGCAUUCCUCUAAGAAUGGAAACAAGGAAACAAUGCCUUAAGAGAUCCCUUUAUUUGAUUUGUAGCUCCAUUAAACCUAUGCUAUGGAACU